rnacentral:lncRNA from 10 species
GGGCAGGAGAGAGUGAAAAGGAAGGUACCACACACUUUUAAACAACCAGAUCUCAUGAGAAUUCACUCAUUACCAUGAGAACAGCAAGGGGGGGAACCGCCCCCCAUGAUCCAAUCACCUUCCACCAGGUCCCUCUCCCAACAUUGGGAAUUACAAUUCAACAUGAGAUUUGGGUGGGAACACAGAGCCCAACCAUAUCAGCCUUCCAUGCACAAUGACCUGGAGAACGUGUGGGCAAGGUGUGGAUUUGUAUAACCUGUUCCUGCCACAAAGCCUACUGAAGUCUCUCAGCAGACUGCUGUUUUGGAUGAGCCAAGAUAUCAUUUCCAAGUCCUAACCAAUUUUAAGGCUGACCACAGUUCAAGAAGCAAUGCCCAAAGAAGCCUGAUGUGGAGGGUAAGGAGUGGCUGCAAACAUCUGCAAAACGGAAGUGUGCCCAGACUCCAGGACAGAGUCUUUUCAGUUUGGGUAGAUCCAUCCCCAAGGACAAAGAGAUUAAAUAUACUAUCCUGUUGAAAGCUGGUGCUAAAGCCAAACAAAGCAAUUUCCAAUCAUCUCUCUGCCACUAUGGCCUGAUCUUGAACAAGUAAAUCUCUCUUAAGUGGUCAGAUGGAAUUACAUUAGUAUCACCCAUAGUUAUUGGCCAUAUUAAGUGAAACAAUCCCAGGAGGACAAUGGAUGAUAGGACCACAGUGGCUGCUGCAGCCAGGCCUUGGCCUAAGCCACAAAGUCCAAGGGUCAGUGGCAGAAGUGAACAGAGUUAUAAUUAAGGGAACUGAGGCAGAAGCCCAGCAUUUAGAUUGGGGGCCUUGAUGGAGACUUCAGGAGAGACACAUUUGGGCCCAUCUGCAGGUGUCCAGAGCUUCUCUGGGCCCAAGCACCUGAGGCUGCCAUACUGACCAUAGCACUCCCGGUUGGGCCUCUGUAGAACAGGACAGGGCUGUGACACAGGGACAGAGAUCCUUCAGGGUAGCUACCCUCUCUCCCAUGGUUACAGGCUGCAGUGAGUAAAGAUGAGAAGGCAGGGAAUGCAGAAGAGCUGAGGAACACUGGCCUGACAAACAAGUCCAGGCUUGCUUUCACCCUUCCUGUGCCAGCACUGACUAUCACAGGCAGGCCACUGCAGCCCCGCUGGCCCCACCUCAGUGCGGCCAACAGUGCCUAACUCCUCUGUUACUACACCCUGAGCACAAAUCCCGGUGCAUCCUUCCUGACACCUCCCCUAUUCGUCUCCCUGAAUUCCAUACAGAUGUUCUCAGAUAGCACCAACAACUUCAUGUUCACUAUUACAAUAUUUACUCCAUGGGCACUAAUCAGCUGCACCCCGGGAAAGGAAAGGCAUUGUAAGUAUACUUUCAGAAGACACUCUGCAAUAACAGAGCCAUAAAUCCGUAUGUUAGCAAAUCCUCAAAGCCAACCCAGAAUUCUGUUCCCAGCCCCUCCACCUCCAUUCCGUUCCCUGAAAUUAUUAGCUCAGAAUUGAACCUGAGUAACCAAAUGAGCUCUUUUUAUUUCUCGGUUAGGACUUCACCCUCAAAAGAAAGAAACGCAGGCAGGCCAGCCACGACGUUUCACUUUUUAUGGACCUCAAUUUAUCUGACGUGCAUAUUUCUUAAAGCUUUCACCGCAGCUACGCCUCAACGGCUGACAACACCUCCAUUACCACUUAGCUAUUUCUCAUUCAUUUUUGUGACUUUCCUUUCUGACCGCCAUACUUUCCAGACAGUAUCAUUAAGGAGGCUGGAAUUAUUAAGCUCUUCAUUCUCAACAGUAUCUCAAAGCAUCCUAAAGCCACAGAGAUUGUGAUGAAUGAGCUCAAAGGCCUUCUUUUUUUUAUAACGCCAAAUGAAAUUUAACCAUGGCUAACUGCUCAGACAAGGGUUUCACUGGACGAGUUUCUUGGUCCCAGAUAUAUUUAUGCACAAGAGGCAAUAUCCAUGCCUAUGAAUGUCUGCUCCAAGCUGACCUGCCAGGUUCUAAUCACCAAUGCUGCUGUUCAUGAGAGAGUGGUAUCACCCAGUAAAAUGACUUCUGAAACUGGCUAUGGCAAGAUCCUGUAUAAUACUGACCUCCAUUGGAUGUAUACAUUUAUGGCAUGAUUGUUUAAUAUCAGUCUCACUGACUAGACUGACAGCUUCGCUAGAGCAGAAGCCAGGUUAUUUUUCCCUCUGUGGUGAACACAGAUUGGUCUUGCCUGCCCAGUAUCAUUCAGUGGCUAUCUUCUGGCAAGGGAACUGUGACCUUUUGGGACGCCACGUACUCUCAGUCUGUGCAGUUCCAAUAGGGUGUUCUCCACCCACCUACUCUAGGCAUGAUCAUAUGACCCAGGGCUAGCUAAUCAAGGCAGAUCACCUGCCUGACCACAGUGACUGGUCCAGAAGUGAACAUAUGACCAACCCAGACCCAACAAAGCAGACUAUUGGGACUAAUACUGGGGCUGUUGAGAGACAAGCAGGCCCUUUCUUCUGCUGGAUUUGAGCCUGGGAGAAUGCAGGCAUGCAACCUCAGGCUGAUGCAUUGCUUGGUAAUGAAAACAACAUAGAAAACAACAGAGCUGAGAGAUGGAGAGAGUCUGGUUGCUGAAAAGCCUAAGCUCCCUGGAUCAAGCAAAGCCUGAAGCUAGACCUAUCUGUGGGUUUUUCAGUCUUAUGAGCUGAAAAUUCUCUUUUAGGUUACAUCAGUUUGAAUUUUUUGUUGUUGUUUCUCACAAGUGAAUGUAAGUUCCAUGAGGGUAGGGAAGUAAGUGAAAUACUGGAUGUUCAAGGUUUACUGGACACAAUGCC